UGAGUCAGUAAGGCAGGUUGAAAGUGA
rnacentral:piRNA from 1 species